UACGUAGGGUGCAAGCGUUAAUCGGAAUUACUGGGCGUAAAGCGUGCGCAGGCGGUUGUGCAAGACAGAUGUGAAAUCCCCGGGCUUAACCUGGGAACUGCAUUUGUGACUGCACGGCUAGAGUGUGUCAGAGGGGGGUAGAAUUCCACGUGUAGCAGUGAAAUGCGUAGAUAUCUGGAGGAAUACCGGUGGCGAAGGCGGCAUCCUGGACCAUUUACUGACGCUGAGGCGCGAAAGCUAGGGGAGCAAAC
rnacentral:rRNA from 1 species